AGUUUCUAAGGAUCAUGUCUGCGAGCCAGGAUUCCCGAUCCAGAGACAAUGGCCCCGAUGGGAUGGAGCCCGAAGGCGUUAUCGAGAGUAACUGGAAUGAGAUUGUUGACAGCUUUGAUGACAUGAACCUCUCGGAGUCCCUUCUCCGUGGCAUCUACGCCUAUGGUUUUGAGAAGCCCUCUGCCAUCCAGCAGCGAGCCAUUCUACCUUGUAUCAAGGGUUAUGAUGUGAUUGCUCAAGCCCAAUCUGGGACUGGGAAAACGGCCACAUUUGCCAUAUCGAUUCUGCAGCAGAUUGAAUUAGAUCUAAAAGCCACCCAGGCCUUGGUCCUAGCACCCACUCGAGAAUUGGCUCAGCAGAAGGUGGUCAUGGCACUAGGAGACUACAUGGGCGCCUCCUGUCAUGCCUGUAUCGGGGGCACCAACGUGCGUGCUGAGGUGCAGAAACUGCAGAUGGAAGCUCCCCACAUCAUCGUGGGUACCCCUGGCCGUGUGUUUGAUAUGCUUAACCGGAGAUACCUGUGUGAGUAAUUCAGUUCUCCAAUCCCCUGGGUCACUUUGCUCUUGUGCACGCUUUCCAGUCUUUCAGCGU
rnacentral:sRNA from 1 species